GUGAGGAAUUAUGCACAAUGGAGGAAACUCUGAUGCUGCAACGCCGCGUGUGGGACGAAGGGGCUACGCCCUGUAAACCACUGUCAGCAAGGAAAAAAAGUCUGCUUAGUGGACUGGGAUUGUACUUGCAGAGGAAGGGUCGGCUAACUACGUGCCAGCAGCCGCGGUAAUACGUAGGACCCAAGCGUUGUCCGGAAUUACUGGGUGUAAAGGGUGCGCAGGCGGGCUUGUGCGUCGAGGGUUAAAGACCCCAGCUUAACUGGGGAAGUGCCCUCGAUACGGCAAGUCUUGAGUGUGAGAGAGGAAAGUGGAAUUCUUGGUGUAGCAGUGAAAUGCGUAGAUAUCAAGAGGAACACCGGUGGCGAAGGCGGCUUUCUGGCUCACAACUGACGCUCAGGCACGAAAGCGUGGGUAGCGAACAGGAUUAGAAACCCGUGUAGUCC
rnacentral:rRNA from 1 species